rnacentral:rRNA from 1 species
GACGAACGCUGGCGGCGUGCUUAACACAUGCAAGUCGAACGAAGUGGCGAACGGGUGAGUAACGCGUAAUCAACCUGCCCUUCAGAGGGGGACAACAGUUGGAAACGACUGCUAAUACCGCAUACUGAAGGAGGGGAUUGCGUCUGCUUAGCUAGUUGGGGGGGUAAAGGCCAACCAAGGCGAUGAUCAGUAGCCGGUCUGAGAGGAGUAACGGGCAAAAUGGGAAUGAGACAUGGGCCAGAAUCCUACGGGGAGGAGCAGGGGGGAAUCUUUCGAAAUGGACGAAAGUCUGACGGAGCAACGCCGCGUGAUGGAUGACGGCCUUCGGGUUGGAAAGCUCCGUUAAUCGGGACGCGUUACCGGAAUAGAAAGCCACGGCUAACUACGUGCCAGCAGCCGCGGUAAUUC